UACGAAGGGGGCUAGCGUUGUUCGGAAUCACUGGGCGUAAAGGGCGCGUAGGCGGCUUUAUAAGUCGGGGGUGAAAGCCUGUGGCUCAACCACAGAAUUGCCUUCGAUACUGUAGAGCUUGAGACCGGAAGAGGUUAGUGGAACUGCGAGUGUAGAGGUGAAAUUCGUAGAUAUUCGCAAGAACACCAGUGGCGAAGGCGGCUGACUGGUCCGGAUCUGACGCUGAGGCGCGAAAGCGUGGGGAGCAAACAGG
rnacentral:rRNA from 1 species